CUCCAUGUAUCAGUUUUUAAUUCCCACUAAUGUUUCUAUAUUAUUUGGUCAAUCAGUUGUCAGUUUUUUUUUUUUAGAGGUAAAGCAAUCUACAUGUUUCUGAUUCUGGUGGGUACAGGACUCAAUGUUACAUGUAAAUCAGUUUGGGCUAGUAGAUCUUUGCAUUUUACACAUUACUGAAGAGAACAGAAUGUAAUUAGGUCUCCCUUUUGUAUGUGUUGCAGCUUGUCUCUUUACUAAAUCAUUGUUUUUGCUACUCACUUAUGUCAUUAUUUCUACCAUCUUCAUUGUUUCUUUCCAACCCAGAGUGAGACAUUUACUCUAGCUUUGAUGAAAUACAAGAAGUGGAACUUGUUGGUCAACACAUUAGACAAAACAGAUGGAGAAGCAAAGAAGUGUGUGACAUAAGACAUGCAGAAAUUUGGAUCUCUCCAAUUAAUCAUGGUUCACAGCUGACAAAAAGAGUGGUGCACAUUGGAUCAAACCAUCACCGCAACCAUCAUCACUAGGAAAUGACAAUGCCAUCACCUGCAAGCAGGCCAUGAAGGGGUCAGUCUGACACAUUUGGUCCUGGAGACCAGCACAACUAGACUUGUGUCUGCAUCACUUGUUGCCUGGGAUCUGUUCUGCCAACCUGCCUUCGGGGACCCUGCAGAAGGGAACAAAUGAAUCAACAAUACCUCCUUGGGCUAAAAUGCAAAUCUCUCCAAAGCCCAAAGCCAUGAAAGAAUAUCCUUGCGCCUCUGGGGAAAUUUAGCCACCAUAUUUCAGGACACUCGAGCAACCCUGUGGACAGCUCUAGGAAGAAAGGAACUGAGGUCUGCUGCCCAGAACCAUGUGGGUGAGUCACCAUGAAAGUGGAUCCUUCAGCCCCAGUCAAGCCUUCAGAUGACUGCAGCAAUGCUUGAUACCUGAUUGCCAAAUAAUGAGAGCUCUUAAGCCAAACUAUUGAACCUGGGUGAUCCCAAUCUUCUGACUCACAGAAACCAUAUGAGUUAACACAUAAUGUACUCUAAGUUUUAGAGUACUUUGUUAUAUAACAGUAAAUAAUUGUUAUGGCUGAAUUGUAUCCUUCCCAAAUUCAUAUGUUGAUGUCCUAACCCUGCACCUCAAUUUGUGACUUUAUUUGGAGCUAGGUCUUUACAGAGGUAAUAAAGUUAAAAUUAGGUCAUUAGAGUAGGUCUUAGUCCAAUAAGAUUGAUCUCCCUAUAGAAGGGAAAUCUGGAGACAAACAUAUUUACACGGAGAAUGCAUGUGUAGAUGAAGACAGAGGUUAAGGUGAUACUUUUACAAGCCAAGGAACACCAAAGAUAUUCAGCAAACCAUGAGAAGUGAGGUGAGAAGCAUGAACAGAUUCUCUCUCACAGGCCUCAGAAGCAAGCAACUCUGCCAACACCUUGAUUUCAGAUUUUUGACCUCCAGAACUGUGAGGCAAUACAUUUCUGUUAUUUAAUAAAAAAAAGAAGUGACACUAGGUUAAAUAUUUUGUGUUGAUACAUCCUCCUCUUUUACAACCCUCCUCAUACUGAAAAUGAUAUAUAACCCUAAACUCCAUUUCCUAGAGUCCCUUGCAAGCAGGUUCCAUAAGUUUUUGACAAUAAGAAGCACUCACAGAGGUUGUAGAGCAGAUAAAAAGGAUGAGGCAUGCCUUUCCGAGUGGCUACUGUAGUCAGGUGCAGGAACUUCAGCAUAUGGGCUCAGUAGGUGCAUGGCAUUUUGGUGUCUUCCUGAGCAUUGCCCACUCUGAUGUUAUAGGCCGUUGAGGUCAUUGUUGGUAGCUUCCCUGUGAUCUCUGCAGUUUUGAAUUUGCUAAAAGUGGCCUCCCUGACCUUCACUCCCCAAGUCUCUCAACCCCUAGGCUGUACAAGCCUCUGUAUCUCUUUAUCACUUUCUGUUGAAUCCAUUUAGCGUGGACCAGUUUCUCUGACCAGCCCAUGACUGACUGAUACAGGCACUGCUAUUGCCCUUUAAGGUAAAUUGAAUGGUAUUUGGAAAAUGAUGGUUUGGCUUUCUGUAGAGAGAAGUUUACUCCAACUUGAUCUGCUGGAAAUCCAACCACCAAUCCAAGGUGUCAACAAGGCUCUGCUCACAGUGGACUGAUGACCAGAACAGAGUAAUCACAAGAGCAGAGGAAGAGCUUAUGCAUGGACACAGCAGCAUGGACACCACUUUACCAAGUCUGAUCUAGCUACUGCUGUCGCCAGUUGCAAAGUCUGCCGGCGGCGGAAACCAACUUUAAACCCCUGAUACAAUAUCACUGCUCAGGAAAAUGAGUUACUUGAUGACAAGUUGAUUAUAAAGGACCCUUUCCACCCUGGGAAGGUAGAACACGGGAGUACAAGAACCAAGAAGUGAAUGUAGCUGUGAACUCAUUUGCCAGUAAUCUCAGUGAGCAACUUGGGCAAUCCGUGCCAUCUGUGCCUAUAACUUUAGGCUGUCUGAGUCUGAAAGCCCUGGUUCCCGGGUUGUGGGGGUGGGGAUACUUACACCAGAGAACAUAAUAGUGAAUAGUCCAGUAAAUGUAAAGCUACAGUUGCCACCUGGUCACACUGGCCUCUUUAUGCUAGUAAGCCAACAGGCAGAGAAAGGAGUUACCAUGUUGGCAAGGGAAUAUGAACUAAUUAUCAUAACGAGGUAGGACUGCUGCUGUAUAAAUGGGGCAUAGAGGAAUGUGUUUAGCACUCAGGUAUUACACAGAGGCACCUUUGCCUUUACUCUGUUUUUUUAACUGUCAAAAGGCAAGUAGAGUGACCACAGCCUAAUGAGGACAUGAUGACCUGGGCCUUAGACUCCAUGCCAAUGAAGGUCUGGAUUACCCCGCUAGAUAAACCACCUAGACCAGCAAAAGUGCUAGUCAGGAGGGAGGGGAAAUUAGAAUGAGUAGUAGUGAUGAGGAUGGAGAUGAAAAGUAGCAGUUAAAUUUCCAUACCAAGGGCAAGGACUGUGGUUGGAACUUAUGAUGAACCUGAAUCCUAAAGAAGUUAUGCUAAUGGAUAGAAAUGAGUAAAUCUGUGUUGUGCAUGGGUAGAUUGUGGAGGACACUGCUGUGAUGUGGCCCAGUCUCCCUUUCUUGGACCAAAGAAAGCACCCAACUUGCAUUUAGUGCUGGCAGCUAAAACUCACGGUUGCCUUUUUGCCAAAGAAUUGUCUUUUGCCAUUAGGCUGCUGCUUUGCAUGGGAGGGUCCAUGCCCCUUAUGCCCUUAUGUUCCUCCGUGGGGAAACCUAAAACCAAUGACUAGUUCAUGUAGAAAUAAAUCAGCCCCUUGACUAAAGAAGGGAGCAAAUAUGAAGUGCAAGGAAUGUUCCAGAGCUCCCUGUGGAAUCCGAGUGCUGAGAACAUACCCUUGUAUAAUUUGUUGCCUAUCUCAUUGUGUUUCUCUCACUCCCUUUCUAUGGAGAGUACUCUAUCAAUAAAUCACAUAUACACAGAUACUUAUAUAGGGCUCUGAUUGUUAUCUGAGGGAACAAAAUGAAGAGAGAGAGAGAGGAAGAGCCAGAGAGAAAGAGAGAGAGAGAACGAAUCAAACAUGAUACCAAGAAAUCUGGUUUGGGCAUCUGUGAGAUUGCCUAAUAAAAUGAGAAGGACUGAGAGAGAGAGAGAGAGAACAGAUAUGGAACCAGUAGAAGUCAAACCUUAGGUUUGACACCUGUUAUAUUUUAUAUGUAUUUGGAUUGUCAAGUAGUUUGAUACAUAGAUCUAGAGUUUAGAAGACAUGUUUGGGCUAGAGAUACAAAAUUGAAGUCUUCGGUAUAUAAAUGGUAUUUAGAGAUAAUUUCCUUGCAAAAAGCAUAUGUAACAAAGAGGGAUUUCAUCAUGUAGUUAGAAGUUAGGUAGAGGAGGUUUUUAAAAGUCUGAGAUGGAACAGUUACAGAGGUAGAAGGAAAGUGAAAAGGGUGUUUUAUCUUACAAGCCAAAGGAGGAACACUGAAAAAAAAAGAGACAUUUGCAAAUUGUCUGCUGCCAGCAUGUUAAAUUAAGUAUGAUAAGUACAGAAUAAAGUGCCUUGACUUGUGAAAUAUAUAAGUUUUUGAUGACUGUGAAAGAGAAAUUUCAGUUAAGUAUUAGGGGAUAGAAAUGAGAUUGCAGCAGCUUGAAGUAUGUAUGAGGGAAGAGCAUGAGUGAGUCAUGUUUGUUGACAGCCCUUUUGGGAAGUUUGGUUGUGAAGUGUGGCAGAGAAAAAGGACUAUAGCUGGGAUGAUUUGUGGGGUCAUGUGAGGUGAUUUUUUAGGAGUGGAAAUACUACAUUAAUAAUAAUUAAUAGCCAUAGAUUUCCUACUAUGACAUUUAAUCCUCACAACAACACCAUAAUGUACAUUGCAUUAUUAUCCCAUUUGUAAGUGAGGGAGUUUAAAUAACUAAGGAAUGGUGAAUCCAAGAUUUGAAGCUGGGCAAAGCCCAUGCUCUAACCAUCAUGUUGUACUCAAAUAUUAGAGAAUGUUUGUAUAUUGAUGGGGAUGACCUAGUAGAGAGGGAGAGAUUGAUGAUGGAAGAAAUGUAUGGAUGAUCAAAAAUAUUGUAGGUAGGAAUGUAGGAGAUGGGCCCCAGAAUAUGUCUAUAGAGGGUGUUAGAGUAGAAUAAAGGACCUGUACAAAGUUUUAAUAAGAGGAACAAAGAAGAUGGGUGUAGAUAAUAAGUAGGUUGUAGUUUUGGUGAUGGAAAACAGUCUAAUGAAUUCUAUUUUCUCAGAUCAUAAACUGAGAUUAAAGGUCAGAGGAGGAUGAAUGGAGCUUUCUUGAAAAUGAGAGGAUGCAAGAAACGGUUUUAAUUAGCUAUCUCAAAGGAUGGGAAAGUGGUGAAUGUAUUACCUUAACAUGGAAGAAAGAGAUUUGCAGAUGUGGUUAAUUAAGGGUCUUGAGAUGGGAAGAGUUCCCUAAAUUAUCUAGGUGGGUACGAAAUGUAACCACAAAGGGCCUUAUGCAGGAGGCAAAAGGUCAAAGGUGGAAAGAGCAGAUGGGAUAAUGGAGGCAAACGUUGGAGUGACGUGGUCUGAGGAUGGCAGAAGGGAACAUGAGCCAACAAAUAUAGGUGACUCUAGAAGUUAGAAAAGGUAAGGAAACAGAUUCUGCCCUAAAACUUCCAGAAAGAAUGUUGACCUCAACCCAGUGGAAUUGAUUUUGGAUUUCUAUUCUCCUGAACUCUAAAAUAAUGAAUCUGGGGAUGCCUGGGUGGCUCAGUCGGUUAGGCAUCUGCCUUCAGCUCGAGUCAUGAUCCCAGCGUCCUGGGAUCCAGUCCUACUUCAGGCUCCUUGUCCAGUGGGGAGGCUGCUUCUCCCUCUGCCUGCCGCUCCCCCUGUGUACUCUCUCUCUCUGACAAAUAAAUAAAUAAAAUCUUUAAAAAAUAAAUAAAAUAAAAUACAAUAUUAAACCUCCAAUUUUGUGGUA